UCCCUAGCCCCAGGUGCGGCACAUCAGCGUGUGGGGGCUGCCCACAUCCUAGAAGAAGGUGUGGGGGUGCUGGCCCUUGGUUUGCUUCCUUUCCUAUCUGGGCUCCAAGUGAGGAGUAAGCUGCAGGCACUGGAGCUGGUAGGAAGUGUAAUAAAGUGGGGUUUUGUGCUGGAGCAAAAUGCAGACAGAAAAGAAGGGCAUAAAAUCAUGAAACUUACCCUAAACAUCUGCAGGGUAGAGAGCGAGCAGUUCGCUCCUGUUGGAUGUGCAUUCCUUGGGUUCCUGGCACCUGCUGUGCCCGUGAGAGGCUGCAAGUCGGUCAGUGCAAGGUUUCUCCUCAAAGCCUACAAACACUCACCUGCAGGUUCUGCAGUCAACUGGUUUCAAAUUACAAAGGAAUCUAGCAAAGAAGAAUAGAUGUGCAUGAAAAAGAUAAGAUAUCUUCAGAACAAGGUACACCUUUAUUGAAGCAUGUAGGUGCUACUGUGAAGCACAGAACUAAAGGAGAUCCUCAGCACCGCUCAUGCUUUGUGGUGUCCACAGUUCCUCCUGACUGCGGCUGAGACCACAGGAGCCCCAGGACAGAUCCUCAAGCCUGGAAAGCUUUGUUUGUGGCUGGACUAUGAUCAGCUCUGCGUGUUGUAUUCAAAUACUUUCCCCCAGCCCGUACCACGGUGUUACAGCUGGGGCCGCCAGGAUCCCCCCUUGGGAGUGCGGCUGGAAGGGGAGAGGCAGAACAGAGGGAGGUCAGAGGAAGCCGCAGCAGCUCCCAGGUGUAAUCCUGCAGCAUCGGCUGUGCCUCUCACUGUGCUCGUUGUCAUCUGAGAACGACAAGGGUGGGCAUACUGUGUGCGAACUUGAUUUGCCUGCUCAUGCAGGUCCUGCUAAACUGUAGCUCCUUCUCUUUGUAUCACUGUUUCACACAUAAAAAACAAAUUGCUAUGUGAACUAGGUAUGCCUUUGCAAAUAUUUUCAGUGCUGAAUGAUGGUACACAAUGAAAAAGGAACGGUGUUACAUAAAAACUCUUAACUGGGAGCCUUGCUAUCAGCUCAGACAGAGGCAUUGCCUGUUGUAAGAAGGUAACGACGAGAUGGAGCGCUGCACCUAUUACACGUGGUAAUGGGAAGCUUGUUUGCCAGUAGUCACAGACAGAAGUGAAAAAUGUAGAUGUUGUAGGCCAGCUUGACUAAACUAAUUUCCAAAGCACUUUCUUAGCUGGAUUGUGGACUUCAUCUAAGUCUUUAUUUUUAAUGGGCUCUGAUUCCUGUAGGGGCACUGAUAAAAAGUGAUAAAGGUGAAGAUGGUCUGAACGUUUCGACUCCCAUGGGGCUUAGAGCUAAGAAUUAAUGUGAAGAUGGAAGCUGUCAAUUGUUGUAAAUUUUAAUGGAGUUUUCUGCCUUUUUUUAAGGGGACAGAUAUAUAAUUCUUUCUUUUGAAAAUUGAUCCCUUGGCCAAGAAUGGGUCUGGUCUUCUAAAUUUCUGCUCAUAUUAAUGAGAGAGAAGACUAUUGGAUUAUAUGAACUUAACAAAAUAAAAAACAAAAAUAAAUCAUCUGGUGUAGCCCUAAGGCAUAAUCAACUGUAACAAAGCUACUGUGAGAGACGUCUUAAAAAAAAUUCUAAAUAUUAUACAAACUCCUGCAGUCCUCCAUCUUCUUGCAGUUUAUGCUAGCUACAUUUUUUAGAGUACUUUGGAAAGGCAUGUAUAUGGUUGGACAUUUUCAUUUAUUUUUGGGUCUGUUUUUUUAAAUAUAAAUGUAUUUUUAUAUCAAAGAAAAAAUUAUCAAUAUUUUCUAUGAAUGUAUACCUACGCUAUUCAUCUCUGUGUUGGGGUAACUUCCACUGCUGCAGGAAGCAAUUUCUGUUUUUCUGUCUAUGGAUUAGUAUAUAGCUUUCCAGGGGACUGUUUUUGUGUAAGUAGAAUAAAUAUGUACAAAUUGAGAGCUCUAAAUAUUUGAAAGACUAAAAUAUCUUUUCAUUUUUUCGAGUAGUUUCUCUCAGUAAAUGCAUCGUUGGUGUGUGCACAUCCUCCCUGUUAACUCUUGUCGCGUGAAGCAGGUCUCCGUUGGCACUGAGGUGGAGAAGGGUUAAUGCCCCAGCAUGCUGCCUGCAUAAUGCAGCUGGGAGCUCGCUUAGGAAAUGUGCUGUUUGUUUUCCCCAAGAUAAAGUAAGUGCUGCAAAA